UCUAAUAUGGCAGAAUUAAUGCAUUGAAUUUAAACUCCAAUUAUAAAAUAAUAAUUUUUUUUAGAA
rnacentral:tRNA from 1 species